rnacentral:rRNA from 1 species
GACGAACGCUGGCGGCGUGCUUAACACAUGCAAGUCGAGCGGUAAGGCCCUUUCGGGGGUACGACGAGCGGCGAACGGGUGAGUAACACGUGGGUGACCUGCCCUCCAGCUCUGGGAGUAAGCCUGGGAAACCGGGUCUAAUACCGGAUAUGACUCCAUGACGCAUGUUGUGGGGUGGAAAGCCUUGUGCGGCUGAGGAUGGGCCCGCGGCCUAUCAGCUUGUUGGUGGGGUGAUGGCCUACCAAGGCGACGACGGGUAGCCGGCCUGAGAGGGCGACCGGCCACACUGGGACUGAGACACGGCCCAGACUCCUACGGGAGGCAGCAGUGGGGAAUCUUGCGCAAUGGGCGAAAGCCUGACGCAGCGACGCCGCGUGA